UCCAGCAUGGGCUACUCUGUCCACAGGUCAACAAGCCAUGUGUUGACCCAAGCUCCAGCAGGCAGAGGGUCACAUUCUCCUUCAGGCACCAUGUCUCUGGUAUGGGAUUCUCCAGGGGCAGAAAGCAAAUACCAGCUCCACCAUGGACCUCCAUGAGUAGCAGGGGAAUUUGCUGUGCCAUUCUCCUUCCUCCCCUUCCCACCCUUUUCCAGUCUGGUAUCCCAGAGGCUCUACCACCAUCCCUGAUGGGCUCAGCUGUGGCCAGCAGAAGGUCCAACCUGCAGCUAGAUGGAAUUGGCUCUGUCAGGCACGAGAUGAUACCAACUUGAAUAGGUGCAGAGAAGGGCAGCAGGAGGAACAGUGUGCUGUCUCUGUGGAGGACUGUAGAUCAUGAAGGGGAUAGGUGGCUACUGUAAUUGUAGAGACUACAUGUAGUUCAAGAACAAAGGCAACUAAACUCCUCAGCACUGGAAAAUGGAAAACAGAAGGUGAUAUCUGCUGCUGAGCAGUGAUGCUACAGGAGAGCCUCUUUCCAGAACAAAGAGGGGAAACAGCCAUGUGGGCAGUUUUAAUGUGGUGCCUGAUCCCUGUGUUAAAUGUCAUAUAGAACAUGAUUGCCUGGUAUAGAAAAACAGUGAGAAAAAAUCAACCUGAUGAUCAGCUUCGGUCUGUGUUUCUAACACUUGAUUUAUUGAAGGAUGACCUGGAUACAGACUUCAGCCCAAUUCAAUUUUCUUUAAUAAACUUUGGA